AGAGUUUGAUCCUGGCUCAGAUUGAACGCUGGCGGCAUGCCUUACACAUGCAAGUCGAACGGCAGCGCGGGAGCAAUCCUGGCGGCGAGUGGCGAACGGGUGAGUAAUACGUCGGAACGUGCCCAAUCGUGGGGGAUAACGCAGCGAAAGCUGUGCUAAUACCGCAUACGAUCUACGGAUGAAAGCAGGGGAUCGCAAGACCUUGCGCGAAUGGAGCGGCCGAUGGCAGAUUAGGUAGUUGGUGAGGUAAAGGCUCACCAAGCCUUCGAUCUGUAGCUGGUCUGAGAGGACGACCAGCCACACUGGGACUGAGACACGGCCCAGACUCCUACGGGAGGCAGCAGUGGGGAAUUUUGGACAAUGGGCGAAAGCCUGAUCCAGCCAUGCCGCGUGCAGGAUGAAGGCCUUCGGGUUGUAAACUGCUUUUGUACGGAACGAAACGGCCUUUUCUAAUAAAGAGGGCUAAUGACGGUACCGUAAGAAUAAGCACCGGCUAACUACGUGCCAGCAGCCGCGGUAAUACGUAGGGUGCAAGCGUUAAUCGGAAUUACUGGGCGUAAAGCGUGCGCAGGCGGUUAUGUAAGACAGUUGUGAAAUCCCCGGGCUCAACCUGGGAACUGCAUCUGUGACUGCAUAGCUAGAGUACGGUAGAGGGGGAUGGAAUUCCGCGUGUAGCAGUGAAAUGCGUAGAUAUGCGGAGGAACACCGAUGGCGAAGGCAAUCCCCUGGACCUGUACUGACGCUCAUGCACGAAAGCGUGGGGAGCAAACAGGAUUAGAUACCCUGGUAGUCCACGCCCUAAACGAUGUCAACUGGUUGUUGGGUCUUCACUGACUCAGUAACGAAGCUAACGCGUGAAGUUGACCGCCUGGGGAGUACGGCCGCAAGGUUGAAACUCAAAGGAGUUGACGGGGACCCGCACAAGCGGUGGAUGAUGUGGUUUAAUUCGAUGCAACGCGAAAAACCUUACCCACCUUUGACAUGUACGGAAUUCGCCAGAGAUGGCUUAGUGCUCGAAAGAGAACCGUAACACAGGUGCUGCAUGGCUGUCGUCAGCUCGUGUCGUGAGAUGUUGGGUUAAGUCCCGCAACGAGCGCAACCCUUGUCAUUAGUUGCUACAUUUAGUUGGGCACUCUAAUGAGACUGCCGGUGACAAACCGGAGGAAGGUGGGGAUGACGUCAAGUCCUCAUGGCCCUUAUAGGUGGGGCUACACACGUCAUACAAUGGCUGGUACAAAGGGUUGCCAACCCGCGAGGGGGAGCUAAUCCCAUAAAACCAGUCGUAGUCCGGAUCACAGUCUGCAACUCGACUGCGUGAAGUCGGAAUCGCUAGUAAUCGUGGAUCAGAAUGUCACGGUGAAUACGUUCCCGGGUCUUGUACACACCGCCCGUCACACCAUGGGAGCGGGUUCUGCCAGGAGUAGUUAGCUUAACCGCAAGGAGGGCGAUUACCACGGCAGGGUUCGUGACUGGGGUGAAGUCGUAACAAGGUAGCCGUAUCGGAAGGUGCGGCUG
rnacentral:rRNA from 1 species